UCUACGGGAGGCAGCAGUGGGGGAUAUUGCACAAUGGGGGGAACCCUGAUGCAGCGACGCCGCGUGGGUGAAGAAGCGCCUCGGCGCGUAAAGCCCUGUCAGCAGGGAAGAAAAUGACGGUACCUGAAGAAGAAGCCCCGGCUAACUACGUGCCAGCAGCCGCGGUAAUACGUAGGGGGCAAGCGUUAUCCGGAUUUACUGGGUGUAAAGGGGGCGCAGACGGCGAUGCAAGCCAGGAGUGAAAGCCCGGGGCCCAACCCCGGGACUGCUUUUGAAACUGUGUGGCUGGAGUGCAGGAGGGGCAGGCGGAAUUCCUGGUGUAGCGGUGAAAUGCGUAGAUAUUAGGAGGAACACCAGUGGCGAAGGCGGCUUUCUGGACUGUUACUGACACUGAGGUACGAAAGCGUGGGGAGCAAACAGGAUUAGAUACCCCAGUAGUC
rnacentral:rRNA from 1 species